AAAGAAAAUACAUCCAGAGCACUGUUUGAAACGUAGUCUGGAAGAAAUGGACCACAAAAUACACAAUGCAUGAAUAAUAGUGUUGACACUAGGCUAAAUGUUACCAGGGUUUGAGUUAGACAAUAGUUGCGAACGCAAGCAGAAUAAGGCUAUUACCUGCCUUAGAUGUACUUUAACCAGUUUGAAUUUUUUGAAAUCACUAAAUAGGGUCGAUUUAGGUGGUCAUCAAAGUACAUAUAAAGUCACCUUUUAGGUCUGCAAAGCUGUUUAUUAUAAUUGGGUUUUAAUUACAUUGGAAAUCCAUUAAAACGGUGAAAAUACUGUGUGCGCUUGCGCAGUGAAAGCCAUCAGUCAAUUCUCCCUCCUGUUUUAGUAACGGUUACAGGUGUGACAGCAGAUAUGUUAAUGAGAUGUGUUUACUUUUUGUAGCGUCAAGUUAAUAGAAUUAUAUAGGAGUGGUUCCCCUUUGAAAGCUACCACAGAAGCACGAGCUAACUUAAAGAAAUGUAACUUUACAGCAAUGAGAACAGCAAGUUAGCUUAACAGCUUAACAGCAGUUUAAAAGCUCUUAAACUAACGUUAGCCUCUAAACAUUGUUGACUAUAAUAAAUCAUUGUCAGUAUGAUAUUGUUCACUUUUUGUCGCUGGAACUGGGAAUGUUUUAUUAACUAGAAACUUCAAAGAAUGGCUUUCAAUGUUUUACAAGAUGUAAUAGUCGCCCCUAUGGUUUGGUGAGGGUUGGAUCUACACACAAAUACCAACCGGGAAAAGACAGCAAGGAGGAUCACCACAUUACUGAACAGCCACGUCCUGAUGCCUGAAGGUAAAGCUGGCAUGAAGAGGCAGGGAAGGAAGGAACAAUCAGCUAAUGGGAGGAUUAUCAGCCUGGCUCUUCUUUAAAUAAGUGAAGCAAGUGUGACCUUGGAGUGAGAGGGAAUGGAUGACAGGCUGAUAUUUGAACCUGGACAUUGUGCUUCUACAGUAUGUUGUUUACCUGAACCUCUUGAGCCAACAGGACACAAACUCUUUCUGUCAGUUGUCAGAAUCAAAGACUUCAGCCUGCUUUGUUCCUGUGUGCUGAAUCGCUGCCUGCCUACCUGUUUGCCUGCCAACCUGCCUGCCAAUCUGUCCGCCCUGAACCGAGCUCUAGGACGUCAUCGUCGGACCCCUGCUGAGUCUCUGAUGCUGAUGGUCUGAGUUCUCUGCUUCCUCCCCAACCCUCUGGUUUUCCUCAAAGCACAUUGAAAAUUAAACCUGCCUGUGUUCUUAUCAUC